GUAAUUCGAUUAACUUACGAAAAAAAAUCUUAACUGGCCAGCUUAUAAAAUACUAAAUGGAGGAUUGAACGGUUUUAGGACCACUUAUUAUGUUAGUUGAAUCAUAUAUUAGAUCGAUUUAAUAGUUUUGUACAUUUUAUAACGAUUUGAGGUGUUGAAUCACGCGCAUUUUAGUUUUCAAUAUUAGAUGAAUAUUUUUAUUAAUGUAGUGAAAUUGAAAUUAAGGGUAACACUCUGGGGAAAAUAUGCACGGGGUGCAAACGCGACGUGACGAGUUCUGAUUGACCCUCUUAUUUUUUCGCCAUUAAAACCCCUUAAGUUGUGUAAUUAACUCGUUCGUCAUCCGAAAAUUUAGCCAUGUUCCCGUCGAAUAUGUUAUUUAACAUCAUCCUCCUUAAAAUUACAACUCACCAUCUUUCUUGAUUAAUUGAGAUUGUCCAUUGAACAUAUUUUCAUCUGUUUGUUAAUUCCCAUAAUCAAUUGAGGCCCCAUCAAUUGAUUUUGUUAGAAAUCGAUCUUCUCGUGCUCGCAGACCUGGGAAGGGUUCUGAUGCUGAACCUGAACCAUCAUCACCUCUUGAUCUUCCUUUACCAAUGAGGAUGUAGCAGACUCACGGUUCCUGCCAAAGACAUGGGGAGGGAUUACGAAGUGGCGCUUCCAAUUCUGAGCGAACCUUGUGGCCCAAAUAAAAUCGGGUUUGGCCUUGAAGCUCCUGCUCAUCCCCAUCUCAUCAAUGUUCUUCUUGCUGCUUCUGGUUUAUCUGUUCAAAGAGAGACAAUGAAACAAAAGAUCAUUAGACAUGAUGAAUACUCCUCCUGGGAAAGCACCAAAAGCAUUGAAUGAGAGGAUUGAAACUAACCAAGAGAGGGGGGAAAUGUGAAGUAGCUAGCAUGAGUUUGUUGUAAAGAAGAAGGAGAAGGUGAGGAAAAAGUUGGGAUGGUGUGUGUCUUGUUAGAAAUUUAGCCUUUGUAUAGCUGUUUGCUGGUUGUUGGCUUUCCCGGUGCAGCUUUUGGAGGCCCAUGUUUUACUUGGUUUGUU
rnacentral:lncRNA from 1 species